CAUCAAUACGUUAUGGGCAGUUUUGACCCUUUUCCGUUUGUAAAAUGAUCCAUUAUAUACAAAAAAAGGGUAGUGUGAUUGGUGGGAUAAGAUAUAAUAAUAAAUUGAGAUAAACGGAAUUAUAUUUUCUAGCGUUUGAUUAUAGGUAUUAAUUAGUCCUGAGAUUGAAAUAGAGUAACUAGCUAUCUUAUACAUCAUUUAUCCCAUCUUGGCAAUCAAAUGACCCCUGGUAGUAUGAAAUAUUUCUACAUUAUCAAUUUUACUGGUAACGCUGAAAUACCAAAAAAAUUCAUUUGUAAAAUAUUUCAAGUGAAAUAGUUCCUGUCAGUCGCAAUUUUCAUUUUUUUUCAAGUGGUUUAUUUUAUAAAAAAAAUGUUCAGAUACUGUUUUUAACUUUAACUUUUUUUUAACCUUCAACAAUGUAUUAUUCAAAUGCCGACUAAGAUAGGUCAAGGUGGUGGUCGAGGAUUUGGCGUGUUGCAUUGUUUAGGGCAGGAAGUAUAUGCAGUGAUAAAUGCACUAAUCAGGCAUGAAUUUAAGGCUAGGUGUGGGUGCGAUAGUCAUAGAUAUUAUUGUGUAUGGAAUAUGGAUAGAGUAGAAUAUAUGUAUUAAUGUGAUGUACCCCGCUAGUGCGGAAUUGGGUUAUUGGGCAAAAUCUGUUGACAAUAUGGGCAACUGACAGUGACGCCGACGCACAUGUAAUAUCAGACCGGAGUCUGAAAUUUACAAGUAUAACGUGAAAUUCACUAAUAGUUAACCUAAAAUUCAUAAACAGAAAUAGAGGGUUUUACUGAGCCGAUGGUCGAUUGGGAACAGUCUCUUUGCUCUUUCGGAUAAUGGUAAGGCUCGUCUACAUAUUAUCCUCCACAGAUCCCACUUUGUGGGACUAUACUGGAUAGUUGUUUAUAUAUAGAGGGUUGGUUCAAAACUUUUAAUAAGUCACAUAUGACAUAUGGGUCCAAAUUUGACGAGCGUGGAAGCUGUUAAGUAAGGGACAGAACGAUGUUACUAUAACAUAACGUCUGAUGGUCGUUAUGGCAAAAGAACGGCAAUCAAGAGCGAUCAACCAAAACAAGACGUUAAGGAUAGUUUAGGCUUACAAGGAGAUAGUAAGAAUAUGUUUUUUGAAUAUUCUUUAUGUUGUACUUUUUAGAGUUUCUUGAAAAAAUGUUCUUUAUAAAUAGGAAGAGUUAGUAAAGAAGGGAGGAUCCGAAUUGGAGGAGAUAGAACACUUUGUAAAAGAUUGAUCUAAAAGAAUAUACAAAAGUUAUCUUAUUCAUUGAUUACAUAACCCGAAUAUACAUUUAGAUCCUAUAUUAACAAGAUCCAAUGAUUCCUCAAGCAUCUCUUAUUUUCUUUCUUUUCACAUUAUUGUCAGGGAAAGAGACUUUCUAGAAAACCACAAUAAUUAGGUAGUAACUUUCUUUGAUUACGUUAGCGCAUUUAUCUAGAUUCAUUGAGCAUUGAUGUUUCUUUAUUUAUGAGCAUUUACUCGGCUAAAAUAUAUUAAUAACGUCUUUCAUCUUGUCUACUUCAUCUAUCAUUUGGUCUAGAUUUCAUUAUCCUUAUCUAAGAUUCACCCAUUUUCUCAUUAUUAAUUUUAGUCGAAAGGUUUAAUACUUUUUGGUCAAAUAAUUUGGCGUCGUUUGUGAGGAAGUCUUUAGUUAAAAUUUUAAUUUCAUCUAAAUCGUAAAAAGGAUAGCCAUCUUUUCCUAGCUUUGCACAAACU
rnacentral:lncRNA from 1 species